ACUGCUAUCGGAUUGAUACUAAGCCAUGCGGGUCUUUGUAGUAAUACAAGGCAGACGGCUCAGUAACACGUAGUCAAUCUACCCUAUGGACGAGGAUAACCUCGGGAAACUGAGAAUAAUACUCGAUAGAUCAUUAUACCUGGAAUGGUUUAUGGUCGAAAUGAUUUAUCGCCGUAGGAUGGGACUGCGGCCUAUCAGUUUGUUGGUGAGGUAAUGGCCCACCAAGACUAUUACAGGUACGGGCUCUGAGAGGAGAGGCCCGGAGAUGGGUACUGAGACACGGACCCAGGUCCUAUGGGGCGCAGCAGGCGAGAAAACUUUGCAAUGUGCGAAAGCACGACAAGGUUAAUCCGAGUGUUUCCUGCUAAAGGAAUCUUUUGUCAGUCCUAAAAACACUGAUGAAUAAGGGGUGGGCAAGUUCUGGUGUCAGCCGCCGCGGUAAAACCAGCACCUCAAGUGGUCAGGAGGAUUAUUGGGCCUAAAGCAUCCGUAGCCGGCUGCGUAAGUUUUCGGUUAAAUCCAUGCGCUCAACGUAUGGGCUGCCGGGAAUACUGUACAGCUAGGGAGUGGGAGAGGUAGACGGUACUCGGUAGGAAGGGGUAAAAUCCUUUGAUCUAUUGAUGACCACCUGUGGCGAAGGCGGUCUACCAGAACACGUCCGACGGUGAGGGAUGAAAGCUGGGGGAGCAAACCGGAUUAGAUACCCGGGUAGUCCCAGCUGUAAACUAUGCAAACUCAGUGAUGCACUGGCUUGUGGCCAGUGCAGUGCCGCAGGGAAGCCGUUAAGUUUGCCGCCUGGGAAGUACGUACGCAAGUAUGAAACUUAAAGGAAUUGGCGGGGGAGCACCACAAGGGGUGAAG
rnacentral:rRNA from 1 species